rnacentral:lncRNA from 1 species
UUUUUUAGUAGCAGCAUUCCCCUAUAAUCUUAGUAUGCAAUAUAUCCUGUGAGUAUAGAUUACAUCUAAACCUCUAUCUUCUGCUUCUUUUAGGGGCUUAAGAAAGCCUUUUAGUUAGAGAGUUAGAGAAACUGCUGUUAUAGGUAGUCGACUAAUUAUUGUAUGCAAGGGGUAUAGAGGAUAGAUAGCUCUUAUUAGUGGCUUAUAGAUUAGAUAGAAGAGAAGGAAGCUAGGAAGCGACGGGGACAGUCCUGAUUCGGCUGUUUCUAGGGCUUUAUAUAGGGUUUAAAGGUAGAAGUGGAAUAUACCUCUUAGGGGGAGAAGAUGAUCAUCUAGCUAUAGCUCUUAUUAUAUUAGUUGCUUUUUAGUCUUCACAUGAAAGGUGCUAUUAACUAUUAAGAAGAUCAAAAAGAUCAGUACAAGCAAGACUUUCAUGUUCUAUCCUAUUGUUAUCCCAAGAGCGCAUUCUAUUAUAUGAAUUGAAAAUAGUAAGUAAGACUAAUUCGAGUAAGCAAGUAAAGCCCUUUUCAACUUCAACUGUUUCAAACGAAAAUCUUUACAAUUUUUUUUGAUACUUUUGGUAUAAAGCCCAAGGUAGUUUUAACUGUCAUAAGCAAGUCCAGUGCUAUCGGUUAAACAUGCCUCUUUCGCCGUCACCCAUGGUACCAGUUCAUAUUUGGUUACCCGAAGCUCAUGUAGAGAAUAGAACUUGAACGAGGCCUUCCCGACUUUACUUUCUAAAGCCCCUUAUCAGGCCUUACCUUCUCAAGCAAGCCUUAUCAGGCCUUACCUUCUCAAGCAAGCCUUAUCAGGCCUUACCUUCUCAAGCAAGCCUGAACGACCUUACUGUCUCAACCCUGACUGACAACUAGCUUUACUUGAUAGAAUUGCCUUCCAUGCCCGGUUCAGUUCGCCCUUGGGUUUCAAAUUCCUUGCCUUGCCCUAGCUUCCAGAAAAAGAAGUAAACUGCUUCUUAAAAGCCAGGAACUUUUGAUAUUCUGCCUUAAUCUUAAGAAAAUCCAACUCCAUUGAAGGGGAACGCACAUACUACACCCAUUAAAGCCGCUGACUAGUUGUCUUAUAUUGAACAGCUUGAAAGUGAAAGGGCCCGAUGGCUUGAGAUUCCUUUUGUAUAGCCAAAAGAGAAAUCAAAUUACUUAUUUGAAACUGAUUACUUACAUACUGGUUAAACUCUACUGGUGUUUAUGCACCAGAAAUCUCAUUCCCGGAAUUCUCUGUAUCUGUAAGGGGGCACUGGGACUAGAUCCCUUCCUCACUUCACCACUCUCAAAAAAGAAGGGAUUCAAGUGGGGACUGCAAAGGAAACUAUAUAUAAAAGGCUGACGGAACUUCCAUUCAAGGGAACUAGCAAUAGCUGCCUGCAUAGGCUUGUCCUUUUCUGAAAGGAGAUCCAUGGCUGUAACAGACUCAUAGAUUGAAUUAGCCCUUGGAAAGGAAGAGGAUAAUUAUAAAGCUUGAUCACUCGCUUGCGAACUUACUGCAUAAAGGAAUUCAAAAAGAGCUACUAGACUUUAUGAGUUAGAACAUUAGGAACCUUACACCCAUAUGAAAGAAAGCAGCCAAAACAGUAGAGAAGAUCAGAGACGGGUUUAGCGAGAAAAGUCUUUAGCUCACACCUAUCUUUGAUAAAAGAAGCCAAAAAUAAAGUUUAGGUAGAAAGAACAGCCAG